rnacentral:lncRNA from 1 species
GCCAUGGAGAUGGAAAGGAUGUGAUUCCACCGAUAACAAGUUGGUGUCUUGGAUUACUAUUUCAACUGUGGAAUUGAAAGCAAUUUUACUGAUCCUAGUGCCUACAUUUGUCCUUAGGUUGGCUGUAAGGGGUGCCCCUGUAAAAUUGAAUGGAGUAGGUGGUUUGUCUGGGAAAUCUGGAGUGUACACACCCUUAAUGUUGAAGUAAUGAGACUGAAGAAGUGCAGUUUGUGGCAUGAUAAAGGAAAUGUUGUUCAGAGAUGCUGUAAGCCUAGUUCCAUUUAGACAGGUGGGACAAGGAUUAAUUCCUAGGCCAACUGUAAACAAGAGGUGUCGAUCAACAUUUAGGGGAACGUUUGCUGGAUAUUUGGGAGUAUUUAGGCUUUUGAGUUUAAAGUUAUAGCUCAAAGCAAAGUCUGAGUCAUUUUGUGCAGGCAAGGUAGGAAGUUUUGGAAUCACGGUUUCUGGGAUUCCCUUGUACUGGAAAAUAGCAGUGGCAGUCUUGUUAUCCACACUGAUUGGAGCAUCCAUGAAGGCCCUUGCAGCCAUGAAGUAUCUUCCUGGAACUCGGUUGGCGCGAACCAGAACAUUUGUAGUCUGGCCUGGUGCAAUUAGAAUUGCGUCUGUGGUGAAUGGUUUCGUGUAGACUGCAUCAAUUUCUACCACUGUGAAGGUAUGGUUAGCCAGGGCAAAAAAGAGCUCAUCAUUGAGAGCAGCAUUGACAAUUCUCAACAGGUAUGUCUUUCCUUUUUCAACUUCCAUGGCAAAAGUAUCUGAAAAGAAAUUCAAACAUUGGAUUAUGUUGGAAGCAAAUACUCUUAACAACCAUAUAUGAUUGAAAUAUUCCACUCAAUAUCAAAAUCUUCCAUUCUUACGUUUCUCAGAACAUGGAAAAAGAGGCCCUGGCUUUCCAUUGAUCGUGUGAGCAUCAGACAUAUUAGGAGGAAUACCCAAUGCAUUUCCUUGUUUCUCAACUGCUUCAACAUCAGCAUUCCACCAUUCCCCUGCAUCACAAUCAGAUAGAAGCAUUGCUGUCAUUUAAUUUCUUUCAUUCUUUGCUACAAGAGAAGUUCAAGAAAUUAUGGUGGUGAAAUUCUAUGUAUAUUAACGAGUGCCAACGCUCACCUAGUACGAGUACUUCUUCCCUAUCUGGUUGAGGAAAAGGGAAGGGAGUGCUUUUUGUGGCAUUAUCACUAUUGCACCAUAGACAGUUGCCCUUAGCCAAAGAAUAUGUGCAUGCCACCAUAAGGUUCCUCUUUGUCCUGUUACAUUGAAAUCAUAAACAUAGCUAUUUCCUGUCUGGAUAGGGCAUUGAGUUAUGUAAGCUGGACCGUCUGCCCAACCAUUACGAUAUUGUUUCAAACCAUGCCUACAAGAAUUAGAACAAAAACAUUCUGUUUCAGCAUCUGAAAGUUGAGAGACUUCAAUUUUCAUCUACUUCUAAUUUUAUCUUACCAAUGGAUGGACAAGUUAUAUUGUACAUAGUUAGUAACAUUGAUUUGAACUCUAUCUCCUUCUCUAGCAUAUAUAGUUGGCCCUGGAAAUCCGCCAUUUACUGUAACCAUUUGUUUUGCAUUGCACAAUCUGCUCACAUUUGACAAUUUCACCUGUAAACCACAAAUAGUUUACCAUGAUGAAAAGAUUUCAACGAAAAGUAAACAAAAUUCAAAAAUUGAAAGUACUAACAUCAAAUUGAUAUUUCUUAAGGGCAGCCUCAACAGGUAGACAAAUGAAACAGAGAAAUCCAAAGGCAAGUAAGCCUAAAAAACUUGUCUGCUUUGUCAUUUCCUUAAUUGGCUUAGAAACUCUAUGACAAGUAUGUGGAAUGGGAUGAGACUAAGCAUAUUUAUAUACAAGGGAAAUGUCAUAUAAGUUGUUAAGGGAAAAGGAAGUUGUAAGAGAGAUAUAUUAGGUACAUAAAGUAUUUGAAUUUGCUGUUACUGCAAAGCCUUUAAGCAAUACAAAGAUGUAGACAUUUUUAAAGCCAUUGACUGACGUAGAGGCUAAAUUCAAAAUCCACCACAUUCAAGCUCUUAACAAAAAUAAAUAAAUGUUCGUUGUGCUAUUGUAGUCAUGUAAACCUACUAUGAAUAUCACCAUUUUCAUAUUUUUUUUAUGGCUAAUUUUAUUAUCUCUGACACUGAAAUAGCAACUUCAUUCAUUAGAAUUUUCUAUAGAUUUACUCUUCUCUCAACAAGCUGCUUUACUCUCUUUUUUUCUUGCAUGGUAUGUUAACUAAAAAAAAUAUAAUUUUAAUAACUCAGAAUGGUAAUUGAUGCCGACUCAAGCACUUUAAUGGCUUAAAAUCAAAAAUAAAUUAGAGCUCUUAAAUUUUUUUGAAUAAUAAUAAUACUUUUUUUUUAAUUUUAAAUCUAUUAUUCUAGUUUUCUUUUAAGAUGCGAAGUGUUUGGAAAUGCAUAUCUUAAAAAACUAUUUUGAGAUGCAAAGUUGUUUCUUUCUUUUUAUAUGCAAAAAUAUUUUAUUUUGUAAAUAGUACUUUUUCAUUUGUCUAAUUUUGGCUUGAUAUAGUGUUUUAAGUUUAAUAAGAAAUAGCAAUAUUUUUUAAAUCGUAUAAUCUUAAAAUAAAGAUUAAAACUAACUUUAUAAUUUUGUUCUAUUUUUUAAGAGUAGUUGUAAUAAUCUUACUAUUGUUAAAUAGAAUCUUUAAAUUUGGAGGCCUAAAGUAAGUGUCUUAUUUUUCAAAUACAUAUAGUAAUCAUAGAGGUGUCAAAAUAGGUUAUCCUAACGGGCUAGAGAGUUAAAUGGAUUGAAACGGGCUGAUCCCUUUAAUUAAAGGGCCAAUAAAAUAGCGGCUCAACCCAAUUCUAAACAGGCCAUGGGUUGGGACGGGGUGACCCUUCAAUCAAAAAAUGAACAAUAUUACUCUCUUAAAAAGAGUACCGAAUGUUGACGCCUAUGAACACGACAUCAAUUCAUAAAGAAUUCACUUAUAAAUCACACACUUCAAUGAAUACUUACAAAAAUACAUUUGUGAAUCACACACUUUGGUGAAUACUUAUAAAAAUACAUAAUAGUCAACGUAAGAUUUAGCGGAUAAAUGUUGAUCAUUUCACCAUUUCUCCCACAAAAACUAGCUGGUUUAAAAGAUUUCCAGCAACACAAGGCAGCCUAAAUACUAAACAAAUCUAAAUAUCUAAAUAUUACAUGACGCAUUAAUUAAUGUUUUAUAACUCCGCUUCUACUUCCACUGUCGAUCACAUUUGAAUCAACAUGUGAUAUUAUUUUCUUAAGAAGUUCAUCUUCAUCUACAGUUCACCAUGCAAGAUGAUAUUUCAAAAUAUUUGAUUUUUUAUUUUUCAAAAUAUUUAUUCAUAAAAAUUUUACAAGUAAAACACUAUUAAAAAUAUAUAUAAAAAUAUUUUAAAAUAUUAAUAGCCCACGGACUGGCCUCUGAGAUUUGGGGGUGGGCCUAAGAGGCCAACGGGCCAAAUAGGGCGGGCUAAAAAGCGUCGUUCAUAAAUGGGCCAAAAAUAUUAAGCUCAACUCCACUUAUUUCAAGGGUUGGGUUGGGCCGACCUUGCGGGCCAAACCCACUUUGACGGCUCUACAUAUAGAGCCGUCUAACUUAACCCCGCACUAUAACUUUUUGGAGGUAAAUCACAAUCAAUUCUUAAUGGUAUUCCCUCUGUCCACAAUUGUUUGAUAAGUAUACUAAAAAUAGAUGUUUAAGAUUAAUUGUCAAUUUAAACAAUCAAGAAAUAAUUAGUAUUUUUUUCAAUUUUGCCCUUAAUAAUCACUCCAUUUUGUUCAAUUAAAAAGUUAUGUAGAUUUUUGAUAUCCUUGGUAUAAUUAGGUUAUAUUAAUCAAAUUACACUUUGUAUUAAAUUUUUCUUGGGAGGAGUGCAUGAACCUUACCAUGACAAAUAAUUAGAGAUAUAGGGAGUAUUUUACAAGUAAAAUGAACCGCUAAUAAAUACGUGAAGUUCAGUAAAAAUUAAUAUAGUACACCUUUUUAAGAUCAUUUUGGGAAUGAAAAAUGUUGAACCGACAAAGAUACGGUACACUUACAUUUAAACAUUGUUCUACGUUACUAAUGUUUUCAAUUUUAUUUGUUAUUUCACCAGAUGUUUUAAACUUCAAGGUGCUAGUACAAUUUUCCCCUAAAAACCAUGGUCAAAUUCUUCAUAGAAUUAGAGUUAUAUAUGCAUAAAAUUAAUCCCUAUUUCACUUGCAUCACUUUCCAAAUCAGGCACUACUAGAAAAAAUCAGAAUUUCCAAUAGAAAAUUCUGGUAAUGUCUUCCCCUUAAGUUUCUGUUCAACUUUUUAAGACUUCCAUUACCUGAAUAAAUACUCAAAGAACUGUUUGUGCAGUCGUGUAAUUUUUUUGUUCUCAAGCUUGAGGGGAUUUUUUUGGGCUUUUGCUCUAAAUUUACACAGUUUUGUAGCAAUUUUACACAGGUUUGCUAUAAUUGUUUAAACUGUCAAAGUCAAGUAGUAUCAACAGACUAUAUUUCAAUCCAAGUAGAUAGGGAAGUCCCUAAAAAACAACAGCCCAAAGUCACAUUUUUAUGUGUGGACCUUUAUUACAACUCAAAUUACAUUUAAAUUCCUCCUUCAUUUUUCCAAUUUUGCAUAUUUUUCCUAUUCACACUGUCUAAAGUGUAUAUAUAUAUAAUCAUCAAAGUCUUUUGUUUCCUUAUGGGAAAAUAAAACAAAUCUGUAAACUUGCACAAGAAAUCCAUCUGAACAUAUAAAAGUAAAGCCUUAGCAUGAUGGAAGGUCCUUUGGUGGAGGCAGAAUACUAUAAUCUGAUCCUGCUCCAUUUUCCACUAAAAAUGCUGUUUUCAGUCCCCAGCCUGUGUGCAACUCCAGAUGACAGUGGAAAAACCACACCCCUUCACAAAAAAUUAGGAUAUGUUUAACAAUAAAUUUUCAAAACAAUAGAGAAGUUUUAACUAAAUUUGGCCGAAAACUGGGUACCUGGAUUAUCAGCUCUGAAUCGAAUAGCAGUCCAACCACCAGUUGGAACACCUACAGUAUUUCUUUCAAUAGGAUCAAUCAGGUUGUAUUUUGCUGGAUCUUUUUUGAGGUCAAAGUUUCCAAUGCCAGUUCCAACCACAAAGAAAUUGUAGCCAUGGAGAUGGAAAGGAUGGGAUUCCACCGAUAACAAGUUGGUGUCUUGGAUUACUAUUUCAACUGUGGAAUUGAAAGCAAUUUUACUGAUCCUAGUGCCUACAUUUGUCCUUAGGUUGGCUGUAAGGGGUGCCCCUGUAAAAUUGAAUGGAGUAGGUGGUUUGUCUGGGAAAUCUGGAGUGUACACACCCUUAAUGUUGAAGUAAUGAGAUUGAAGAAGUGCAGUUUGUGGCAUGAUAAAGGAUAUGUUGUUCAAAGAAGCUGUUAGCCUAGUUCCAU